GAAUUUUGGACAAUGGGCGCAAGCCUGAUCCAGCAAUGCCGCGUGCAGGACGAAGAUCUUCGGGUCGUAAACUCCUGUCGAGCGGGAAGAAACCCGCGGGGAUGAAUAAUCCCUGCGGCUGACGGUACCGCUAAAGGAAGCCCCGGCUAACUCCGUGCCCGCAGCCGCGGUAAUACGGGGGGGGCAAGCGUUGUUCGGAAUUACUGGGCGUAAAGGGCUCGUAGGCGGCCAACUAAGUCGGAUGUGAAAUCCCCAGGCUCAACCUGGGAACUGCAUCCGAUACUGGAUGGCUUGAAUCCGGGAGAGGGAUGCAGAAUUCCAGGUGUAGCGGUGAAAUGCGUAGAUAUCUGGAGGAAUACCGGUGGCGAAGGCGGCAUCCUGGACCGGCAUUGACGCUGAGGAGCGAAAGCCAGGGGAGCAAACGGG
rnacentral:rRNA from 1 species